GGGACGGGUGAGUAACACGUGGAUAACCUACCUAUAAGACUGGGAUAACUUCGGGAAACCGGAGCUAAUACCGGAUAAUAUAUUGGACCGCAUGGUUCAAUAGUGAAAGACGGUUUUGCUGUCACUUAUAGAUGGAUCCGCGUCGCAUUAGCUAGUUGGUAAGGUAGCGGCUUACCAAGGCAACGAUGCGUAGCCGACCUGAGAGGGUGAUCGGCCACACUGGAACUGAGACACGGUCCAG
rnacentral:rRNA from 1 species